rnacentral:rRNA from 1 species
UUAUGGCUCAGGAUGAACGCUAGCUACAGGCUUAACACAUGCAAGUCGAGGGGCAGCAUUGGGGUAGCAAUACUCAGAUGGCGACCGGCGCACGGGUGAGUAACACGUAUCCAACCUGCCGCUUACUCGGGGAUAGCCUUUCGAAAGAAAGAUUAAUACCCGAUGGUAUAAAGAGUUCGCAUGUUCUCUUUAUUAAAGAAUUUCGGUAAGCGAUGGGGAUGCGUUCCAUUAGAUAGUUGGCGGGGUAACGGCCCACCAAGUCUACGAUGGAUAGGGGUUCUGAGAGGAAGGUCCCCCACAUUGGAACUGAGACACGGUCCAAACUCCUACGGGAGGCAGCAGUGAGGAAUAUUGGUCAAUGGACGAGAGUCUGAACCAGCCAAAAGUAGCGUGAAGGAUGACUGCCCUAUGGGUUGUAAACUUCUUUUAUAAGGGAAUAAAGUGAGGGACGUGUCCCUUUUUGUAUGUACCUUAUGAAUAAGGAUCGGCUAACUCCGUGCCAGCCGCGGC